GCAAAUCCCAGCUCCUUCCGUCCGUGAUCGACUCCUGCCCGCGUCCCCACCUUCCGAUUUCAGGCCGUGGUCCAAGCAAGGCCACAUCCUUCCUCUUCAGCCCGCGUCCCCACCUUCCGAUUUCAGGCCGUGGUCCAAGCAAGGCCACAUCCUUCCUCUUCAGCCCGCGUCUCCGCCUUCCUUCCGCGAUCCGGAAACCCAGCAGCCUCCCCGUGAUCGAUGCAGCGUUCCAAAUCCUCCACGCCAUCAGCACGAUCGCUGCCAGCCGUCACCGCAUCCCCAGCUCCCAUCCUUCCAUCGAUCCAAAGAAAGAAAUCCACGUCGCCACCUUCCACUUCAACUCCCAGCUCGCCCGUCUCCAAAUCCUCCGCAAUCACCGGCGAUCCCAGCCCCUCUUCCAUGAUCAGGCGAUCCCGCACCGCAUCCCCAUCUUCCGGAUUCGAGAGCCCCUGCAUCGCGCCUCACAGCCGCUCUAGCAUCCCACCGAUCACGCCAUCAACACGUCCAGCCCCUUCUCCAUGAUCCCAGCAGCGCCCGAAGAAGGAACUUCGCGCCUCCCUUCCGCAUCAGGCGUCCGACGAUCUCGCGUCCGUGGCCAAAGAGGGAAGCCGUCCGAAGCACGCCCACUAUUUCCUUGUCCUUCCCAGCAUCCCGGAUGACCCAUGAUUCCAUUUCAAGUGCAUCCGCGGCUAUAAGAGGAGAAGGAGGAAGAGGGAG
rnacentral:lncRNA from 1 species